rnacentral:rRNA from 1 species
GACGAACCGUGCGAACGUUGUUCGGAUCCACUGGGCUUAAAGGGCGCGUAGGCGGGCGGUCAAGUCGGGGGUGAAAUCUUUCCGCUUAACGGGAAGCGUGCCUCCGAUACUGAUCGCCUCGAGGGAGGUAGGGGCAUGUGGAACUUCCGGUGGAGCGGUGAAAUGCGUAGAUAUCGGAAGGAACGCCGGUGGCGAAAGCGACGUGCUGGACCUCUUCUGACGCUGAGGCGCGAAAGCUAGGGGAGCAAACGGG